GACGAACGCUGGCGGCGUGCUUAACACAUGCAAGUCGAACGGAAAGGCCCUGCUUUUGUGGGGUGCUCGAGUGGCGAACGGGUGAGUAACACGUGAGUAACCUGCCCUUGACUUUGGGAUAACUUCAGGAAACUGGGGCUAAUACCGGAUAGGAGCUCCUGCUGCAUGGUGGGGGUUGGAAAGUUUCGGCGGUUGGGGAUGGACUCGCGGCUUAUCAGCUUGUUGGUGGGGUAGUGGCUUACCAAGGCUUUGACGGGUAGCCGGCCUGAGAGGGUGACCGGCCACAUUGGGACUGAGAUACGGCCCAGACUCAUACGGGAGGCAGCAGUGGGAAAUAUUGCACAAUGGGCGGAAGCCUAAUGCAGCAGCGCCGCGUGCGGGAUGACGGCCUUCGGGUUGUAAACCGCUUUCGCCUGUGACGAAGCGUGAGUGACGGUAAUGGGUAAAGAAGCACCGGCUAACUACGUG
rnacentral:rRNA from 1 species